rnacentral:tRNA from 1 species
GCAAAUAUAGUCAUUUAUGAUUUAAGACUGCAAAUUUUAAGGUGGGGGUUCCCUUUUUGCU